AAAUUUCAUAAAUGCCGUUUGGAACGGCCAUAGGCCUACGAAAGACAGAAAGAGCUUGUUAAUUCUGAAGCAGCGCGUAUCAAAGAAAUCCAUCUUUCAAGAUGUCUCGCAUCAUUAUUUCAUAUCUCUGAAGACUGUCGCAAGGAGCGACCGGACAUCAUAUCGAUUAACAUCAUAUCGAUUGAACUCCGUUAUCGGUGACCGACGAUGAAUUGUUAUUAUAGAGAUAUCAUGGAAAUAAAGUCGCGUAUAAAAAAUAAAGAUUUUAUUCCAUGUUAUGUUCCAAGAUAUUUGAGAAAGAUCAAGAUUACAAAAUCAAGACUGCAGUCACUAUCAAUGUGUGUGAUGCAUUCUUUGCAAAUUCACAUCUAUUAAGUGUACAAAUUAAUUCGUUGAAGUAAUUAUAACUUUAUUUAAAAUUUAAAUAUUUUUCUGCCGUUUUGGAAUUUUAAAAUGCCAAUCUUAACAUUUAAAAAAUGCUAUAUAUUUUGGCAAAGGAAAUAACAUUUACAAAACGAUAGUGAACACAAUAAUGUCCGUAAAGCAACAUAUUAGUCACUGCAUUCUUUUGGCACUUCAAUCGAAGAAAACUGCUGCCUAAGCCACGGAUAUGAUUUGUUUAGCUUUGGGGAAAGGUGCAGUGACGCAUAAAACUUGUAAAAAGUAAUUUAUUAGGAGUAUUAGAGGUUUCGAAGAGGUGAUUUAACAAUAUUCAUGCCAAAAAGCAACUCAUUUGAAUGAUGAAAUAAAGUGGAAAAACCCAUCUACUGAUCACAAAACUAGUCUCUUCAAUAUCAUCUGAAUGAUACGCACUUCAAAACAGUAGAAGAAGUUCAAGAAAGCAUUGACAACUUUAUCGACUCAAAGUUGCUACCUUUUUCUCGAGAGGAGAUCGAUGAGUCCGAAAAUUGGAGGAAAAUCAUCGAAAAUAAUAGCGCAUAUUCCAAGGAUUAAAAUAUAUUUCACUUUUCUAUAAAUAAAUUGUUUAAUUUCUUUAAAAAA